rnacentral:rRNA from 1 species
UCUGGUUGAUUCUGCCAGUAGUCAUAUGCUUGUCUCAAAGAUUAAGCCAUGCAUGUGUAAGUACAGGCCGACUUAAGGCGAAACCGCGGACGGCUCAUUAAAUCAGAUAUAACUCAUUGGAUCUCUGCCGAACCGCACUACUUGGAUAACUGUGGUAAUUCUAGAGCUAAUACAUGCCUUUGUAGUCUCCGACCGCGAGGGAGGAGCGCUUUUAUUAGACCAAAACCCUCGGCGGCCGGCCGUUUGACGGGCCGGCCGCGAUCUCCUUGGUGAAUCAGAAUAACUUUGGCCGAGCGCACGACCCCUCCCGCAACCCGGGUUGGGUCGGCGCCGCGUCCUGCAGGCGUCUGCCUUAUCAGCUCUCGAUUGUAGGUUAAACGCCUACAAUGGCUAUCACGGGUAACGGGGAAUCAGGGUUCGAUUCCGGAGAGGGAGCCUGAGAAACGGCUACCACAUCUAAGGAAGGCAGCAGGCGCGCAAAUUACCCACUCCCGGCACGGGGAGGUAGUGACGAAAAAUACUGUUGCGAGCCCCGAACGGGGCCUCGCAAUUGGAAUGAGUACACUUUAAAUCCUUGUACGAGGAUCGAGUGGAGGGCAAGUCUGGUGCCAGCCGCCGCGGUAAUUCCAGCUCCACUAGCGUAUAUUAAAGUUGUUGCGGUUGAAACGCUCGUAGUUUGACUUCUGCUCCGGACCGGCGGUCCGCCUUAGCGGCGGCUACUGCCGGGUUCCGAGCUGUGUCCCCGCCGGCGCGCACGGGGUUUUUUAUGCCCUUAACCGGGUGUCCCCCUGUGGCCGGCACGUUUACUUUGAAAAAAUUAGAGUGCUCAGAGCAGGCUGGUCUUUGCUUACAGCCCGAAUGGUCGUGCAUGGAAUGAUGGAACAGGACCUCGGUUCUAUUUUGUCGGUUUUUCGGAACCCGAGGUAAUGAUUAAUAGAAGCAGACGGGGGCAUUCGUACUGCGACGCUAGAGGUGAAAUUCUUAGACCGUCGCAUGACGACCUACUGCGAAAGCAUCUGCCAAGGGAUGUUUUCGCAGUAGGUCGUCAUGCGACGGUCUACUGCGAAAGCAUCUGCCAAGGAUGUUUUCAUUGAUCAAGAACGAAAGUUAGAGGUUCGAAGGCGAUCAGAUACCGCCCUAGUUCUAACCUUAAACGAUGCUGACUAGCGAUCCGCCGCAGUUAUUCCCAUGACCCGGCGGGUAGCUUCCGGGAAACCAAAGUCUUUGAGUUCCGGGGGAAGUAUGGUUGCAAAGCUGAAACUUAAAGGAAUUGACGGAAGGGCACCACCAGGAGUGGAGCCUGCGGCUCAAUUUGACGCAACACGGGGAAACUCACCAGGCCAGGACACCGGAAGGAUUGACAGAAUGAAGGCUCUUUCUCGAUUCGGUGGGCGGUGUGUACAAAGGGCAGGGACUAAAUCGGCGCAAUCUGGUGAAUUGCGCCUACUGGGAAUUCCUCGUUCAUGGGGAACAUUUGCAAGCCCCAAUCCCCUUUAAGGACAGCUUUCACGAGGUUACCCGCUCCUCUCGGAGCAGGGACAGCUCGCUGAACUCUCCAUUGUAGCGCGCGUGCGGCCCAGAACAUCUAAGGGCAUCACAGACCUGUUAUGGCUCAAACUCUCGUGCGGCUAGUAUAUUUUUUGCUGCCGCUUAUCCCUCUAAGAAGAAGACUGCGAAGCGGACGCCAGUUUCCGGCGCCGCGGGGGCGCGCCGCCGUCGGUUGGUUAGCGCCGCCGGCGGAGGCCCGCGCGACGGCCGGGUUUAGGGGAACCCGAGCCCACGCCCGAGGGCGAAGGCUGGGCGAGAGACCCGUCGACUAUUUAGCAGGCUAGAGUCUCGUUCGUUAUCGGAAUUAACCAGA